GAUGAACGCUGGCGGCGUGCCUAAUACAUGCAAGUCGAGCGAACGGACGAGAAGCUUGCUUCUCUGAUGUUAGCGGCGGGCGGGUGAGUAACACGUGGAUAACCUACCUAUAAGACUGGGAUAACUUCGGGAAACCGGAGCUAAUACCGGAUAAUAUUUUGAACCGCAUGGUUCAAAAGUGAAAGACGGUCUUGCUGUCACUUAUAGAUGGAUCCGCGCUGCAUUAGCUAGUUGGUAAGGUAACGGCUUACCAAGGCAACGAUGCAUAGACGACCUGAGAGGGUGAUCGGCCACACUGGAACUGAGACACGGUCCAGACUCCUACGGGAGGCAGCAGUAGGGAAUCGUCCGCAAUGGGCGAAAGCCUGACGGAGCAACGCCGCGUGAGUUAUGAAGGUCUUCGGAUCGGAAAACUCUGUUAUUAGGGAAGAACAUAUGUGUAAGUAACUGUGCACAUCUUGACGGUACCUAAUCAGAAAGCAACGGCUAACUACGUG
rnacentral:rRNA from 1 species